UAUAGCAGGGAUCUCCAUGGAUGAAAAUUGAACCAUGGAGGAACUUUCAUCAUUACAAACCGUGUCUACGCUGUACAGUGUAGCGCGAUCGGAAGUAUUUUAUCCCUCCAUACAAGGAAUGGUGAACAUGCUAAUUCAUUGCUUAUUUAAAUUAUAUUUAUUUGAAUUUUCAUUAUAGAAUUAGAAGUAUCAAUAUGUUCAUUUAUUGCCGUUUUCAACCAUUCAAAUGCCAAGUCUUCAUGGUCCCCCCUUAGUCGAGAAUGACCAAAAGCUGUCAUGAAGGUCCCCAUGUAGAUUUCUUGUAUUUUUGGUAAUUGUUA
rnacentral:lncRNA from 1 species